rnacentral:rRNA from 1 species
AGCAUAAUCAAUAGUCUCCUUAAUUGGGAACUGGAAUGAAUGGUUGAACAAAAGAAUAACUGUCUUUUUUAUAUAAUUUGAACUUAACUUUUAAGUGAAAAGGCUUAAAUACUUUGGGGGGACGAUAAGACCCUAUAAAGCUUUAUAACAAAAACUAUUUUUAAAUAAAAAUUUAGUGGCGUUAUUUUAUUGGGGCGAUAAAGAUAAAAAUAUUAUAACUGUUAAAAGAUAAAACAUAUAUUUAUGAAGGUGUAAAAGAUCCUGAAUAGAGAUUUAAAGAAUAAGUUACUUUAGGGAUAACAGCGUAAUUUCUUUUAAAAGUUCUUAUUGAAAAAGAAGAUUGCGACCUCGAUGUUGAAUUAAAAUAUCUUU